rnacentral:lncRNA from 1 species
CACUGCUCCGCUGAGUCCGAGUUCCCUCUGUACAGCGAAACUUGUACAGCCCCGGAGGGGAGGCAGUGACGCUGAGAGCACCCAGCCCCGACCCGCAGCAGUGGGGCACCGACAAAGCACCAUGGGCAGCCUGGGCCCGGCCCUGUCCCUGCCCUCAGCUCCUCCCGCCUCCUCCUCCCUGGCUGCCCCUGCACCUGGGUGAGGAGGGGGCAGUCCGGGCUCUGGUACUGGCCACAGGCAGACAGCCCCAGGGCCACAGCGUCGUCCUUUCCUCGGCGCCCAGGGAUAGGACCUAGCCCAGCAGACGUCCCUAGCCCCCUUCUCUCCUCAGCUCACUUUCGUGGCCCGGGACCCUGAGCAGAGGGGCGCCGCCCAGGCCGCGCAGACCGGAGCCCGAGCGUCACGCGCACCGCGCGCACCGCCCGCCUCUGGCCAGGACGCUUAUACAUCCGGAGGGUGGGCAGUGCCCGCUCCUCCGACCUCCCCAGCACAGGCCGGGAGCAGGGAGGGCCGGGGGCGGGGCCUGGACUGGCCGAGGGAGAGGGAGCCCAGGACACGUCGGAGGAACUCAGGCCGCUGGUCGGUCCUGGUCGGUCUGUGCUGUCCCUCACUUGCUACCCACCAUGCAGCCAGCCUGUCGGCCUGGCGGGUGUGUGGGUUGUGUCCUGGGAACCUCCGUUGUACACCUGAGCAGCGGCCUGAAGGCGGAGCCCAGAUGUGGAGUCCGAGGGAGACGUCAGUACAGAGAAGGGAGAAGUGAAAGUGAAAAACCCUGGGGCUGCUGGACACUCCAGGUAAGCCUCCUGAGGUCCCUGGCCCUGUGAGUCAGGUGGUGGAGGGGAGGGGGUCCUCCCAGCCCCUCAUUAACCCCUUCACACCUAGGCUGGGACCAGGAGACCAGGCUAGGUGAGAAAAAGUGUGGGAGCAGAAAGGACUGUGGCAUGAACAAACUCUGAUCUGAUCGAGAGCAUGCUGGAAGAGGUCAGGAUCCUCCGCUAGGCUGCUCAGCUGGAGGGGCGCCCCUGCUCCACCCACAGCUGAUACUCACCCAAGUGGUUGCAGAACCUGACUGAACCCACUGUCAAAGCCCAGGGAGUGCCAGAGGGGCCCAAAGGGCCAGAAGUGGAGGCCUGAGCCCCCAGUCCUCCACAGCAUUGCUGCCUUCCACGCCUCCUUCUGUCCUUUUUGGGGGCCGCCCCACAGCUUUCUUCGACACCACUGUAACCCCACCCUUGGUGCCUACCGCCCAGAGGGAGCCCGCGCCCAGUGGCCC